AAACUUGAGGGAGAGAGAGACUUGCCAACCAAUAAUGGCAAUACAACGUGACAAGUGCUGCUAUGGAAUUUUGGACAAACUGAAAAUAAAGGUGGUCCAAGGAUUUGGAGUGUGAGCACCUUGAACCGAUAAGUUAUGGGAAGUAAGACUUGAAGAACUUAAUCUGUACUUCCUGAUCCGUUCAUCCUGUGGCUGUCACUAG